UAGGGAAUCUUCGGCAAUGGACGAAAGUCUGACCGAGCAACGCCGCGUGAGUGAAGAAGGUUUUCGGAUCGNAAAACUCUGUUGUUAGAGAAGAACAAGGAUGAGAAGAGAAUGUUCAUCCCUUGACGGUAUCUAACCAGAAAGCCACGGCUAUCUACGUGCCAGCAGCCGCGGUAAUACGUAGGUGGCAAGCGUUGUCCGGAUUUAUUGGGCGUAAAGCGAGCGCAGGCGGUUCUUUAAGUCUGAUGUGAAAGCCCCCGGCUCAACCGGGGAGGGUCAUUGGAAACUGGGGAACUUGAGNGCAGAAGAGGAGAGUGGAAUUCCAUGUGUAGCGGUGAAAUGCGUAGAUAUAUGGAGGAACACCAGUGGCGAAGGCGGCUCUCUGGUCUGUAACUGACGCUGAGGCUCGAAAGCGUGGGGAGCAAACAGGAUUAGAUACCCUGGUA
rnacentral:rRNA from 1 species